UACGUAGGGCGCAAGCGUUGUCCGGAAUUAUUGGGCGUAAAGAGCUCGUAGGCGGUUUGUCGCGUCUGUCGUGAAAGCUUGGGGCUUAACCCCAAGUCUGCGGUGGAUACGGGCAGACUAGAGGCAGGUAGGGGAGAACGGAAUUCCCGGUGUAGCGGUGAAAUGCGCAGAUAUCGGGAGGAACACCGGUGGCGAAGGCGGAUCUCUGGGCCUUACCUGACGCUGAGGAGCGAAAGCGUGGGGAGCAAACAGG
rnacentral:rRNA from 1 species